rnacentral:rRNA from 1 species
AAUCAACGCUGGCGGCGUGCCUCAGACAUGCAAGUCGAACGCGAAAGUUUCCUUCGGGAAACAAGUAGAGUGGCGCACGGGUGAGUAACACGUAGGUAAUCUACCUUUGGAUGGGGAAUAACAAUCGGAAACGGUUGCUAAUACCGCAUAAUGCAGCGGCACCUAAUGGUGACAGUUGUUAAAGCGGGGGGAUCGAAAGACCUCGCGUCUGAAGAGGAGCCUGCGGCGGAUUAGCAGUUGGUAAGGUAAUGGCUUACCAAGGCUACGAUCCGUAACCGGCCUGAGAGGGGCGGUCGGUCACACUGACACUGACAUACGGGUCAGACUCCUACGGGAGGCAGCAGUCGGGAAUUUUGGGCAUGGGCGAAAGCCUGACCCAGCAACGCCGCGUGAAGGAUGAAAUCCC